rnacentral:rRNA from 1 species
UACGUAGGCAGCAAGCGUUGUUCGGAUUUACUGGGCGUAAAGGGUGCGUAGGCGGCCGGGUAAGUGGGGUGGGAAAUCUCCCGGCUUAACUGGGAGGGUGCGCUACAGACUGCAUGGCUAGAGUGUGGGAGAGGAAAGUGGAAUUCCUGGUGUAGCGGUGAAAUGCGUAGAUAUCAGGAGGAACACCGGUGGUGUAAACGGCUCACUGGACCAUAACUGACGCUGAUGCACGAAAGCUAGGGGAGCAAACAGG